rnacentral:lncRNA from 1 species
UUUAAAUUCAUUGUUUUAUUGUUGUGAUUAUUAUUGUUAUUUAUUUAUUUUUUUCUUUUAUGUAAAUAAAUAACAUUUAAAAGGUACAAUAUGUUUUUAUUUUAUUCUAAUGCAAUGCCUGCUUUUUGUUUCCCUUUUGGUCAUCAGAAAAAGAAAAGCCAUGGAUGGAUAACAAUGAUUACAACUCCAAAAUGAGAAUCAAACAACUAUACUUUGGUCGGUAUUAAUCAAUUUUAUUAACAUAUUUACACAAUUUCUGUUGUACUCAGCACAAGCUAUGUGUACUAGGUCAAACAGAUGUGGUGGAGAAGGGGAAGGGUGUGGAAACAGGCAGGAAAGAGGAUUUUUUUUUUUUUUUCUAAACAACCAUUAUCAAAACUUUUAAAACUUUUCACUAUGUAACAGGAAAUUUCAAAGCAGGAAAUUUUAAAUUAAACACAUAUGUCCAUAUAGUCUACUAUUAUAUUGAAAAGUUACAAAAUGUCAUGCACAUAUCAAAAGUGCACAUGCAAAAUUAUAAUGCAUCAAUACUUACAAAUGUUAACAUUUGAAAUACGUGAACAAAAACUGCUGCAAAACUGAAAGGUUAUGAAUAAUUACUGCAAUGCAGAUGAGAAUAUAAUGCUCUAAUCUAACUGUCUUAGAAUAAGUUCACUGUCUUUUGCAUAUAUUCAUCAAAAAUAAUGAUCCUAAUUUGUCAUACUGUUACAUUUAUUACAAUGGCUCCCAAGUGAGAGCUCGUUGUGAAAAUAAUAGGGGUUGCACAUCAAUGACUGAAUGAGUCAUUUAUUUACUUUAUCAGAGAUGCAUAUGAUAAAGAGCAAGGCUACACAGCACGCUCAUUUUUGCACAUACUGUGCUUGCUAUGCAGUCAGCAGUUCAUCCAGAAAUGUAAAAGUCAGAUUUCUUGUGGGUUUUUUUUUUUUUUGAAAAAAACUUUUGAGUCAUACAUGAUUAUUCUAUCGCUCAUCAUGUUUCCUUCUUACAAAAGCAGAUCACUAUAUGUGAAUGGUAAUGUAAACAAUGUCGACGAGAGACUAAGCCUACAUGAACAUUCAUUUUGAUCUUGU